rnacentral:rRNA from 1 species
AGGGCAAGUCUGGUGCCAGCAGCCGCGGUAAUUCCAGCUCCAAUAGCGUAUAUUAAAGUUGUUGCAGUUAAAAAGCUCGUAGUUGAAUUUCGGGGUUAGUAGGUUGGUCAUGCCACUGGUAUGUACUGAUCUUACUGAUUCCUCCUUCCUGAUGAACCGUAAUGCCAUUAAUUUGGUGUUGCGGGGAGACUGGACUGUUACUUUGAAAAAAUUAGAGUGUUUAAAGCAGGCUAACGCUUGAAUACAUUAGCAUGGAAUAAUGAAAUAGGACGUUCGAUCCUAUUUUGUUGGUUUCUAGGAUUGACGUAAUGAUUAAUAGGGAUAGUUGGGGGCAUUAGUAUUCAAUUGUCAGAGGUGAAAUUCUUGGAUUUAUUGAAGACUAACUACUGCGAAAGCAUUUGCCAAGGAUGUUUUCAUUAAUCAAGAACGAAAGUUAGGGGAUCGAAGACGAUCAGAUACCGUCGUAGUCUUAACCAUAAACUAUGCCGACUAGGGAUCGGAUGAUGUUAAUUUUUUAAUGACUCAUUCGGCGCCUUACGGGAA